CUCCCUUCCUUCUCCAUUAAAUAUGAAGCACUAAGUGAACCUGCAAAGUUCGCGAGCCCACCAAAUAAGCUUGCUAAAGCACCACUUGUGAUGCCAACAUCNNNNNAAAGAUGAAAAAUAAAGAACUCCAUUUAUGCCAGCAAAUUGUUGCAGUAUAAAAAGGGAACCUCCAAUAAAUGCAACUCUAGAGUGUGGCUCCUCCAGG
rnacentral:misc_RNA from 1 species